rnacentral:misc_RNA from 1 species
GUACUCACAAAAUUACAUAUGUUAGAGAUUUAAAAAAAAAUUCUAGAAAUCGUAAACUUGUACAAAAGUUUUAAUGAAAAUAAGUACUCAUCACCAAACCCCCACUCACAUGCAAUAACUAAACAUCAAAACUAGUGGACCCCGUAAAUUAUUAUUCAUCACCACAUAAAGGUAAAUAUUCUUUUCUGGAAAAAGAAAAUGCCAAAGUGGAAGAACACACAAAAGCAUCAAUCAAUAAUGCAACACAUAGAUGUUAUACUCAACUAUAGCAUCUCCUGAUGUCAUAUUUAACCACUGUGUUCUGGCCUGAACAUAACCUCUGGCAAACCGGAAAAGCCCACUUCCUCCGACCACCGGCAUCUCUCUCAUCUUGGAAAACACCGUGUUCCGUCCAAGCACCGUGAUAGUACUACCAUUAUACUUACCUUCAAGAAAAGCAAAAUUCAUGGCCAUUAAUAAGCCGAUCUCUUGCUGUGACGCUUGUGCGUAAAACCCUUGUGCUCUUCCCACUAACUUGGAGCUCAUUUCUGGCCCUAACGUUAAAGCGUUAUCGAUCAUCCUUAUCAUCCAGAAGGCUGUAGUUGAUGUGUUAUCCGGCGGUACGACUAGGACGGGGCUAGUGUUAGAGCCUGUGACGGUGUCAUGCCAAUACAAGCGGAAAUGGCUUAGCUUUUCUUUCUUGAGACCAUAUAGCUUCCUGUCCAUGGUUCUCACAAACUCAUUGUCUUCUCCGGCCACCAGUGCGGCGGAGAAGGAAGACAAGAGGGAAAGAAAAAUGAAAUGAGAAGCAAGAAUGGGUAGUCUAGCCAGGGACAAUAUGGGAACUCUAGCAACUCUUGACUAAGCGGCGAAUAUUUGCGGGAGAACACCCGACUCUGGUGCUGUUUGCCCAGUUUAUACUUGUAGAAGUCUUUUUUAGAGUAAAUAUUUUAUUCAUAAUAAUAGAAGUAAAGGCAAUGAGCUGCCCAUAA